GCCAGCAUGACACAGUGGUUUGAGCACUGAACUACAACUCUGGAGACCAGGGUUCAAUUCCUUGCUCAGUCA